UACAGAGGGGGCAAGCGUUGUUCGGAAUUACUGGGUGUAAAGCGCGUGUAGGCGGCAGACCAAGUCGGCGGUGAAAGCGCCCGGCUCAACUGGGCGAGGUCCGUGGAAACUGGUCAGCUGGAGGACGGUAGAGGCGAGUGGAAUUCCCGGUGUAGUGGUGAAAUGCGUAGAGAUCGGGAGGAACACCUGUGGCGAAGGCGGUUCUCUGGGCCUGUACUGACGCUGAGGAGCGAAAGCGUGGGGAGCAAACAGG
rnacentral:rRNA from 1 species